GAUGAACGCUGGCGGCGUGCCUAAUACAUGCAAGUCGAGCGAACAGACGAGGAGCUUGCUCCUCUGACGUUAGCGGCGGACGGGUGAGUAACACGUGGAUAACCUACCUAUAAGACUGGGAUAACUUCGGGAAACCGGAGCUAAUACCGGAUAAUAUAUUGAACCGCAUGGUUCAAUAGUGAAAGACGGUUUUGCUGUCACUUAUAGAUGGAUCCGCGCCGCAUUAGCUAGUUGGUAAGGUAACGGCUUACCAAGGCAACGAUGCGUAGCCGACCUGAGAGGGUGAUCGGCCACACUGGAACUGAGACACCGUCCCGACUCCUACGGGAGGCAGCAGUAGGGAAUCUUCCGCAAUGGGCGGAAGCCUGACGGAGCAACGCCGCGUGAGUGAUGAAGGUCUUCGGAUCGUAAAACUCUGUUAUUAGGGAAGAACAAAUGUGUAAGUAACUAUGCACGUCUUGACGGUACCUAAUCAGAAAGCCACGGCUAACUACGUG
rnacentral:rRNA from 1 species